CCUACGGGAGGCAGCAGUGAGGAAUAUUGGUCAAUGGGCGUAAGCCUGAACCAGCCAAGUCGCGUGAGGGAUGAAGGUUCUAUGGAUCGUAAACCUCUUUUAUAAGGGAAUAAAGUGUGGCACGUGUCCAGUUUUGUGUGUACCUUAUGAAUAAGGAUCGGCUAACUCCGUGCCAGCAGCCGCGGUAAUACUGAGGAUCCAAGCGUUAUCCGGAGUUAUUGGGUUUAAAGGGUGCGUAGGCGGAUUGUUAAGUCAGUUGUGAAAUGUCCGGGCUUAACCGUGGAACUGCCUUUGAGCCUGUGCAUCUAGAGCGAAGGAGAGGUAGGCGGAAUGCGUGGUGUAGCGGUGAAAUGCUUAGAGAUCAUGAAGAACACCGAUUGCGAAGGCAGAUUACCGGACUGUAACUGACGCUGAGGCACGAAAGCGUGGGUAGCAAACAGGAUUAGAUACCCCAGUAGUC
rnacentral:rRNA from 1 species